rnacentral:rRNA from 1 species
CAGCUAGUUGGUAGGGUAACGGCCUACCAAGGCGACGAUCAGUAUCCGGCCUGAGAGGGCGGACGGACACACUGGGACUGAGACACGGCCCAGACUCCUACGGGAGGCAGCAGUGGGGAAUUGUUCGCAAUGGGCGAAAGCCUGACGACGCAACGCCGCGUGGAGGACGAAGAUCUUCGGGUCGUAAACUCCUGUCGAGUGGGAAGAAUGGAUCGGGGAUGAAUAAGCUCCGGUAUUGACGGUACCACUAAAGGAAGCCCCGGCUAACUCCGUGCCAGCAGCCGCGGUAAUACGGGGGGGGCAAGCGUUGUUCGGAAUUACUGGGCGUAAAGGGCUCGUAGGCGGCCAACUAAGUCAGACGUGAAAUCCCCAGGCUCAACCUGGGAACUGCGUCUGAUACUGGAUGGCUUGAAUUCGGGAGAGGGAUGCAGAAUUCCAGGUGUAGCGGUGAAAUGCGUAGAUAUCUGGAGGAAUACCGGUGGCGAAGGCGGCAUCCUGGACCGACAUUGACGCUGAUGAGCGAAAGCUAGG